UACGUAGGGGGCAAGCGUUGUUCGGAAUUACUGGGCGUAAAGCGCGUGUAGGCUGCUUCGCAAGUCGGAUGUGAAAGCCCUGGGCUCAACCCAGGAAGUGCAUUCGAUACUGCCGUGCUUGAGGACUGGAGAGGAGACUGGAAUUUACGGUGUAGCGGUGAAAUGCGUAGAUAUCGUAAGGAAGACCAGUGGCGAAGGCGGGUCUCUGGACAGUUCCUGACGCUGAGGCACGAAGGUCAGGGGAGCAAACAGG
rnacentral:rRNA from 1 species